rnacentral:rRNA from 1 species
CUCCUACGGGAGGCAGCAGUAGGGAAUCUUCCGCAAUGGACGAAAGUCUGACGGAGCAACGCCGCGUGAGCGAUGAAGAGACGAAGCGAUCUGGAAAGGUCCGCGAAACAAGGUAACAGCCCUGUAAUCGAAACUUCGUUUCCUCCAGAGUGGAUCCUGAGUACGGCGGGACACGUGAAACCCCGUCGGAAUCCGGGAGGACCAUCUCCCAAGGCUAAAUACUUCCUAGUGACCGAUAGUGAACCAGUACCGUGAGGGAAAGGUGAAAAGCACCCCGGGAGGGGAGUGAAAGAGAUCCUGAAACCGUGUGCCUACAAGUAGUCAGAGCCCAUUUACGGGUGAUGGCGUGCCUUUUGUAGAAUGAACCGGCGAGUUACGAUUACGUGCAAGGUUAAGCUGAUGAGGCGGAGCCGCAGCGAAAGCGAGUCUGAAUAGGGCGAAGCACAUGCUUUCGAAGUAGCAAUACUUCGUAUUGCUUGUAAGUACGUGGUCGUAGACCCGAAACCGUGUGAUCUACCCAUGUCCAGGGUGAAGUUCAGGUAACACUGAAUGGAGGCCCGAACCCACGCACGUUGAAAAGUGCGGGGAUGAGGUGUGGGUAGGGGUGAAAUGCCAAUCGAACUCGGAGAUAGCUGGUUCUCCCCGAAAUAGCUUUAGGGCUAGCCUCGAGGAAAGAGUAUUGGAGGUAGAGCACUGAUUGGACUAGGGGUCCCCACAGGAUUACCGAAUUCAGUCAAACUCCGAAUGCCAAAUACUUAUCCUCGGGAGUCAGACUGCGAGUGCUAAGAUCCGUAGUCAAGAGGGAAACAGCCCAGACCAUCAGCUAAGGUCCCCAAGUAUACGUUAAGUGGAGAAGGAUGUGGAGUUGCCCAGACAACCAGGAUGUUGGCUUAGAAGCAGCCACCAUUUAAAGAGUGCGUAAUAGCUCACUGGUCGAGUGACUCUGCGCCGAAAAUGUACCGGGGCUAAACGUAUCACCGAAGCUAUGGAUUGACACCUUAGGUGUCAGUGGUAGGGGAGCGUUCUAAGUGCUGUGAAGUCAGACCGGAAGGACUGGUGGAGCGCUUAGAAGUGAGAAUGCCGGUAUGAGUAGCGAAAAGAGGGGUGAGAAUCCCCUCCGUCGAAAGCCCAAGGUUUCCUGAGGAAGGCUCGUCCGCUCAGGGUAAGUCGGGACCUAAGCCGAGGCUGAAAAGCGUAGGCGAUGGACAACAGGUUGAAAUUCCUGUACCACCUCCUCACCGUUUGAGCAAUGGGGGGACGCAGAAAGGUAGGGUAAGCGCACUGAUGGAUAUGUGCGUCCAAGCAGUUAGGCUGAGAAGUAGGCAAAUCCGCUUCUCGCGAAGGCUGAGCUGUGAUGGCGAGCGAAAUUUAAGUAGCGAAGUUCCUGAUCCUACACUGCCAAGAAAAGCCUCUAGCGAGGUGAGAGGUGCCCGUACCGCAAACCGACACAGGUAGGCGAGAAGAGAAUUCUAAGACGCUCGGGAGAACUCUCGUUAAGGAACUCGGCAAAAUGACCCCGUAACUUCGGGAGAAGGGGUGCUCUGAUAGGGUGUUAAAGCCCGAGAGAGCCGCAGUGAAUAGAUCCAAGCGACUGUUUAGCAAAAACACAGGUCUCUGCGAAGCCGCAAGGCGAAGUAUAGGGGCUGACACCUGCCCGGUGCUGGAAGGUUAAGAGGAGGGGUUAUCCNUNNGGAGAAGCUCUGAAUUGAAGCCCCAGUAAACGGCGGCCGUAACUAUAACGGUCCUAAGGUAGCGAAAUUCCUUGUCGGGUAAGUUCCGACCCGCACGAAUGGUGUAACGAUUUGGAUACUGUCUCAACGAGAGACCCGGUGAAAUUAUAUUACCUGUGAAGAUGCAGGUUACCCGCGACAGGACGGAAAGACCCCAUGGAGCUUUACUGUAGCUUGAUAUUGGAUUUUGGUACAGUUUGUACAGGAUAGGCUUAGUGAUCCGGUGGUUCCGCAUGGAAGGGCCAUCGCUCAACGGAUAAAAGCUACCCUGGGGAUAACAGGCUUAUCUCCCCCAAGAGUCCACAUCGACGGGGAGGUUUGGCACCUCGAUGUCGGCUCAUCGCAUCCUGGGGCUGAAGUAGGUCCCAAGGGUUGGGCUGUUCGCCCAUUAAAGCGGUACGCGAGCUGGGUUCAGAACGUCGUGAGACAGUUCGGUCCCUAUCCGUCGCGGGCGUAGGAAAUUUGAGAGGAGCUGUCCUUAGUACGAGAGGACCGGGAUGGACAUACCGCUGGUGUACCAGUUGUUCCGCCAGGAGCAUAGCUGGGUAGCUACGUAUGGAAGGGAUAAGUGCUGAAAGCAUCUAAGCAUGAAGCCCCCCUCAAGAUGAGAUUUCCCUUGG